GAUGAACGCUGGCGGCGUGCUUAACACAUGCAAGUCGAACGGUGAAGCAGAGCUUGCUCUGUGGAUCAGUGGCGAACGGGUGAGUAACACGUGAGCAACCUGCCCCUGACUCUGGGAUAAGCGCUGGAAACGGCGUCUAAUACUGGAUAUGAGCUGCGACCGCAUGGUCAGCAGUUGGAAAGAUUUUUCGGUCUGGGAUGGGCUCACGGCCUAUCAGCUUGUUGGUGAGGUAAUGGCUCACCAAGGCGUCGACGGGUAGCCGGCCUGAGAGGGUGACCGGCCACACUGGGACUGAGACACGGCCCAGACUCCUACGGGAGGCAGCAGCGGGGAAUAUUGCACAAUGGGCGAAAGCCUGAUGCAGCAACGCCGCGUGAGGGAUGACGGCCUUCGGGUUGUAAACCUCUUUUAGCAGGGAAGAAGCGAAAGUGACGGUACCUGCAGAAAAAGCGCCGGCUAACUACGUG
rnacentral:rRNA from 1 species